rnacentral:rRNA from 1 species
UACGUAGGUGGCAAGCGUUGUCCGGAUUUAUUGGGUUUAAAGGGUGCGUAGGCGGUCCCAUAAGUCAGUGGUGAAAUACUCUAGCUUAACUAGAGGGGUGCCAUUGAUACUGUUGGACUUGAGUAGAGUUGAAGUGGGCGGAAUUGACGGUGUAGCGGUGAAAUGCUUAGAUAUCGUCAAGAACACCGAUAGUGAAGACAGCUCACUAAGCUCAAACUGACGCUGAGGCACGAAAGUGUGGGGAUCAAACAGG